UACGGAGGGGGCUAGCGUUGUUCGGAAUUACUGGGCGUAAAGCGCACGUAGGCGGCUUUGUAAGUUAGAGGUGAAAGCCCGGGGCUCAACUCCGGAAUUGCCUUUAAGACUGCAUCGCUAGAAUUGUGGAGAGGUAAGUGGAAUUUCCGGUGUAGCGGUGAAAUGCGUAGAUAUCGGAAGGAACACCAGUGGCGAAAGCGGCUUCCUGGUUCAGCACCGACGUUCAGGCACGAAAGCGUGGGGAGCAAACAGG
rnacentral:rRNA from 1 species